rnacentral:rRNA from 1 species
CCCUUAGAUGUUCUGGGCCGCACGCGCGCUACACUGAUGCAUUCAACGAGUUUCUUCCUGGUCCGAGAGGAAUGGGUAACCUUUUGAAAGUGCAUCGUGAUAGGGAUAGACUAUUGCAAUUAUUGGUCUUCAACGAGGAAUUCCUAGUAGACGUAGUUCAUCAGACUGCAUCGAUUACGUCCCUGCCCUUUGUACUCACCGCCCGUCGCUCCUACCGAUUGAAUGCUCAGGUGAGCCAUUCGGACUUUCAUCAUGCUGGUUUCCAGUUUUGAUGAAGGAAAGUCUUGCGAACCUUAUCAUUUAGAGGAAGGAGAAGUCGUAACA